rnacentral:rRNA from 1 species
CACGUAGGGGGCUAGCGUUGUCCGGAAUCAUUGGGCGUAAAGAGCGUGUAGGCGGCCCGGUAAGUCCGCUGUGAAAGUCGGGGGCUCAACCCUCGAAUGCCGGUGGAUACUGUCGGGCUAGAGUGCGGAAGAGGCGAGUGGAAUUCCUGGUGUAGCGGUGAAAUGCGCAGAUAUCAGGAGGAACACCGAUUGCGAAGGCAGCUCGCUGGGACGUAACUGACGCUGAGACGCGAAAGCGUGGGGAGCAAACAGG